AUGCUGCUCCUGCUGAUGCUGCAGGUGUCCCCUUUUCCCACCGGGACACAUACACAAGGUCUGCCUCAAACUCUUGCUGGGACAGAACCAAAGCUACCUGCAGCAUGCAAGGAGGGUCUAAUUGGCUCAAACAGCCCCAGGCUGUACUAUGGGAGCACAUAUCCCUAUAGUACAUGGAGUCACCGAGGUGAGCAUCUCCAGCGCCUGCGGUGCCCUGCUGUGCCAGAUAGCAUCUGCACCACGGGGACAUGUGCGGCGGCUGGAGCAUGUGGGCAGCGGGAUCUGGCUUUGCUCAGCACCAUUAAUCACACUCUGUUUGAUCCCGAGUGGGGUGGCUGCAAGGGGCUGUGCGCAUCGGGGUGUGUGUUGUGCUUUCUCAGCUUUUCAACUUGGCCGUGUUUGGCGGCAGCAGACAGAGCACAGGGUUGCAGGGCUGUGCCAGCCAGGCUUUAUGCAGUGUCACAUGCUGCGUGCGGCUGUCCCCAGGCCAGGGUGGGCACUUGGCUCCAGGGGGGCUCUUUGCUCUGUGCUUUUGGUGCUUCCCCACAUCAUGUGCUGGAAACUUUCCAUGCUCACUCAGGGAGCCCAGUAUGUGCCUUCGCUCCAUCCAGUGCAGGGAUGAAGCCGACCUGUGCUGGGGCACGGGCUGCUGAGCCAUCCCCUGCAUGGGGAUGGCGGAAGCAGCGGGAAUCACACCAUCUCUCAGCACACAAUUGCUCCCAUUCCCUCCAGAGCUGCGCAGAUACAGCUCUGAGGUCUGGCUUUGCCCUUCUCCCGAGCUCCCUCGCUGUCCCAUCUCCCAUCCCUCCAGGACUCCGUACUAUCUGCACAAGGCAAGGAGCAGCCCUGGGCUCUGUGCUGGCCUGGAAGAGAAAUCCCAGAUCCCCCCCAGACCCUUCCACAGCACAUGGCCAGAGGGACUGCAGCAGAAGCACCGUGUGGAGGUGCACAGGCAGGGAAAGGUUGCAAUCCCCCAGUCCUCUGCCCUACUCCCGCUGUCUUUCCCCAUUUCCAGCAGCGGCUUUGCUCAGUGCCAGCAGACUGCUGAGACCUACCUGGAGCUGCACCUGGCUGCUGCAGGGCAGCCAGCCCUGUGCCUCUGUGCCACAGUGCCAUGGGCACAAGUACUCUGUGUCCUGCAUGUCACCACCUGCAAUGCUGAGUGCCAUCAGUGCCAUGUGUCCUGCACAUGUGCAUGGUUCCAUGCAUGCGUGCAGCCUGUGCCUUCCAUGCACUGAUGUCUUUGUGCGUGUGCUAAUCGUGGCUUCAGUGCUGUGCAUGUGUGCAAGCAAGGACCGCGUGCUGUGUGCAUGUCGUCCCAUGUGCGCUCAUCGUGCUACACGUGCUGCAAACCAGCCCAUGCAUCCCGCACAGGUGUUGCAUGCCAGGAGCGCACUUUUGGUGGGCUGCAGGUGCCCGUGUGUGGCUGGCAUGGCGCGUGUGCUUGCAGACAGGCUGGACCUGCCUAACGCGAGCCGAACGAACAAAACGUUCAGGUCAGGUCUUGCACGUGGGGCUCGACGCCAGGCAAGUGCAGAGUCGCUCCAGGCUGGGAGCUUCUGUGCCACAGGCUGCGGGGAGCCCCUUCCUCAUCCUUCCUCCCCAGCCGAGUCCCUCUAG
ensembl:lncRNA